GACGAACGCUGGCGGCGUGCUUAACACAUGCAAGUCGAACGGAAAGGCCCUGCUUUUGUGGGGUGCUCGAGUGGCGAACGGGUGAGUAACACGUGAGUAACCUGCCCUUGACGUUGGGAUAACUUCAGGAAACUGGGGCUAAUACCGGAUAGGAGCUUCUGCUGCAUGGUGGGGGUUGGAAAGUUUCGGCGGUUGGGGAUGGACUCGCGGCGUAUCAGCUUGUUGGUGGGGUAGUGGCUUACCAAGGCUUUGACGGGUAGCCGGCCUGAGAGGGUGACCAGCCACAUUGGGACUGAGAUACGGCCCAGACUCCUACGGGAGGCAGCAGGGGGGAAUAUUGCACAAUGGGCGGAAGCCUGAUGCAGCAACGCCGCGUGCGGGAUGACGGCCUUCGGGUUGUAAACCGCUUUCGCCUGUGACGAAGCGUGAGUGACGGUAAUGGGUAAAGAAGCACCGGCUAACUACGUG
rnacentral:rRNA from 1 species